rnacentral:rRNA from 1 species
UGGGGAAUCUUGCGCAAUGGUCGAAAGACUGACGCAGCGACGCCGCGUGUGGGAGGACGCCUUUCGGGGUGUAAACCACUGUUGCCCGGGACGAACAGCCUCUUUCGAGAGGACUGACGGUACCGGGUGAGGAAGCACCGGCUAACUCCGUGCCAGCAGCCGCGGUAAUACGGAGGGUGCGAGCGUUGUCCGGAAUCAUUGGGCGUAAAGGGCGCGUAGGUGGCCCGGUCAGUUCGUGGUGAAAGCGCGGGGCUCAACCCUGCGUCGGCCAUGAAUACUGCCGCGGCUGGAGCACUGUAGAGGCAGGCGGAAUUCCGGGUGUAGCGGUGGAAUGCGUAGAGAUCCGGAAGAACACCGGUGGCGAAGGCGGCCUGCUGGGCAGUUGCUGACACUGAGGCGCGACAGCGUGGGGAGCAAACAGGAUUAGAUACCCCCGUAGUCC